CCCUCCACAUUUUCGACUUAUCUUUGUACUGCAAAUCCAAAAAUAAUUGUCUGUGAAAUUAUCUGAUAUAAUUUGUGCUGCAGUUAUGAACGAAUAACCCAUUUUAAAGUUGUUUUCACAUAAUGUAUAUAUUUUUCCCCUUGCAGAUGACACUCCGGUUCCUGUUGCAAACAGUAAUGUGAAAGAAUACAACGCAAACCCAAAGCAAAUUAUUCUAUUCAAGGAAUUUAUUCACUACUGGAAAGAAUACAUCCAAAAGGAUGUCUAUCUGAAGGAUUGGCACAUGUCAAGGAAGACACCAUCUAUCAACCAUAGCUGGCUGAAUGGCUGCAAUGUGGACAUUGUGGCAGUUUCUUCAAAACGAGCUGUCUGCUGUCCAGAGGGAGACUUGCCAGGUCAUCGCUGACAACCGCAUGUCUUUCUUGAGCUCUUGCUCUGGAAACACCUCCUCAAAUUACCCCCAGCAUCUUUCAGAGACCUUGACCACGUUAGGACCUCACCACGCUGCCUUUGACCUGCAGAUGGUGGCUCACAUUCUAGAAUGCAUGCUCUGCAACAAAGACUUUAAGAGACUGGACCAUUCAACUCUGAGCUCACAACCUGAAAGUUUACUGCAGCAGAUUAAAAAUAAACCAUAAACUCCACUAGAGGGCAGCACUCCCUUUACCAGGAGUAGGACACUCAGAAUCCCUUUCUGAGCAUAUUUAUCAAUUCAUUUGGUUGAUAAGCCUUUGGUUUCAGAGGUAGGUAGCCCAAAUGACUUGCCUGAUGUCUUGAAAUACAUACGUUUAUGGAUGUUUUGUGUGAAUGAGAUGAUGAUAAAAUGACAAACAUC